GGAAGGGCAAGCCAACUGGCGAUGGCACCCCGCUCGAAGCGGGACGAGCUUCACAGCCUUGCGGGUUCGACUCCCGCACCUUCCG
rnacentral:tRNA from 1 species